AAUGUAAAGGCAGCAGGUCGGAGUUAGUCGAUGGCUCCGUAAAAAUCGACUAAAAAAAUAAACAACAAUGAUAGUAUGUCCCUUAGGCCUUGGAUGGCCCAUGAGGCAACGCUAAUAGCUGCUUAGAGUGGCUCGUUUUCUUUAGACGCCUGCUAUAAAGGCAAAAACGACAAGAGCAGGUUAGUUUUAGACUAUGUAUGUGUCCGUGUGGUUUAAAAUGAAACAAAAACGGCACUAUUUUAUGACUUUAUCCUUGUCUGGAGGAUGGUUAUAGAAAAACUAUCCAGACUAAGCCUGUAGUUGGUCUUACUAAAACGCUUUCGGACGCGGGUUCAAGUCCCGCCACCUCCGCUU
rnacentral:tmRNA from 1 species